UGUCUCGUGGGUACACACUGUUCUCUUACAUUUUUGUACAAUUGUACGUACUUAAUGAUAUUUAUUCACUUCUCCAACGCUUUAGGUCCGGAUUGAGAUGAAAUAUCGACUGGAUCAGCAUAAAAAGACAUCUCAGCACCAGAAGACCGUGACCAAGGCACGGUUAAAAACUUCACAGCAACCAUUGAUCUCAUUUUCGAAGCAUAUGGGCGACAAAUGAGUUCCAUCAAGAUGUUUGAGAGGCUUUAAUAAAAGCAAACAUCCCCUUGAAUAAGCUGGAGAAUGAAGGAUUAAAAACAUCCGUGAAAAAAUAAGCAGGAGAAGAUAUUCCUCACGAGUCAACGCUCAGAAAAAAGAAUGUGGAACCAUUGUACGGAAAGAUAUUGGGAAAUACUAGGAAAGACAUUGGCGAUUCUCCAGUCUGGCUAUCCGUUGACGAAACUACUGGUUCUUGCGGUCGGUAUAUGGUGCACGUGAAAACUGGAAAACUCUCUGCUGACGAGGCUGGACGAGACACCUCAUACUGUGCAAAGAAUUGUAACGAACGACACACGCCACAAUUGAACGCAUAGUGCAGGAAGUAUUGAGUGUGCUAUGAAGAAGUGAAGAUCAGAAAGGUGGGAGAACAGGGUUUUGGCCAUUGUGACGGAUAGCGUCGCAUAUAUGCAGAAGGCCGCAGAGCGUCUAUGGGUGUUUUACCCUAAAAUUAUUCACCUCACGUGUCUGGCUCAUGGCAACCAUUGAGUCGCUGUAGAUGUCAGAACCACACUGCCAGAGGUCAAGUGCCUUAUAUCUUUGGCAAAGAAGGGCACCAAGUCGAGUGAGAGCUUUCGAGACUGCUCACCCUGACUGUCCUCUGCCACCUGAACCAGUCUUGAGGAGGUGGGGAACGUGGAUUUUGUAGACAACCCCAGAAAAGUUGAAGAGGUAUGGAUACGUAUGUAGAUAUGGAUAAAUUGAAUAAGCAAAGAAAACGAACACAACAUAGAAUUCCAGUAUUAAGCUUAUUUCUCUGUACAGCAAGCAGUUUUCAGCUGGAAAACGACGUACAGUAGAUUACUACUUUCUUGUUCGAGGUCCUAAAGGCUUUGAAGAUAGCGAAAAUUUCGCCAUACGAAAAGCCAAAGACGCCUUGAAGAAUUUCAGCGUGUUACACAGCCUGUCUUUCAUCCGAGCGCAAUUGGGUGGUCUUCCAGACCUGAUUGAGACACUUAAGACUCGUAACUUGGAAGUUACGAAGACAGUGGCUCUCGUCGAAGGACUCAGGACACAGAGCAAGAGUUGGCCAGGUCCGAUCGGUAAGAGACUUAGAAGAAAACUGGAUGCAGUUCUUCACAGAAAUCCUGGUUCCUAUGGUUCGGAAGAUCGCUCAGCUGCUGGAAUGAGAGAAACGCUCCGACAAUCUAGAUGAUUUCACGUCGUUUGAUGUCGCUGCUCUUUAAUUUUUACCUUAAGUGUCAUGUGACGUUGAACUAUUAUUUUCAAGAUU